UUUUGUCUUUUUUUUUUUAAGUUUCAUCAUAUAUAAAUGAAGAAGAGUCUGAUGCUAUUGCCUAGGCAAUAUUAAUGCUGUCAAGUUUCUAUUAUACUUGGUUAGAAAGUCUCCGAACUAAUACAGAACUCUGAUCAUUCAAUGGAGUGGCUGAUUGCAGCUUUCAUAUCUAGACCUGUAGACUAUAGGGUUUGUCUUUUUGCAUUAACUAAAUAACAAUCACAAAAUAAUUCAGAUUUCCAAAUAUACUAAAAUAUUGGUACUAUAUAAUCACUGAUAUUUUUAGUACUUAAAAGUAGCUUUGUAUACCAAAACACCAGUCUACCAAAAACAAGUACUGGCGAGAGUAAUCCCAGAGUUGGGACCUUCUGGGUCAACCUGAAAAACAAAACUUCAACUUCCACCUAUGUUACUGGGUGCUCAGAAUAAAGGUUUCUGGAUAGGAGAGGGCCAGGGAUGGUGUAGAUGGCCACCAUCUAGUGGACAAACCACUCUGAUAGGGUAGCAAAUGGUUCCAGAGUUUUCUCAGCCCAGAAAAAAACUGUCAAUAUCCACAGUUUGCAUCAGAUUUCCUUCUUAAAUAGUAAAUACACAUUACACUUUGAGAAAUUGAUUCAGCUGUGUUUUUUUUUUUCUUUUCUUUUUAGAGACAGGAUCUUGCUCUGUUGCCCAGGCUGAGUGCAGUGGCACGAUCAUAGCUCACCACAGCCUUGAAGCCCUGGGCCUGAGCAGUCCUUCCACCUCAGCCUCUGAAUAGCUGGGACUACAGGUGCAAGCUACUGACUUGGCUAGAAUUUGGCUGUUUUCACUCACAAACAUAUGUACAUACCGUUUUUAACUUUAAUAAAAGGUUACUUUUUUUUUUUUUUUUUUUUUGAGACAGGGUCUGGCUCUUUUGCCCAGGCUGGACUGCAGUGGCAUGAUCACAGCUCACUGGAGCAUUGACCUCCCAGGCUCAAGUGAUCCUUCCACCUAAGACUACUGAGUAGCUGACACUACAGGUGCAAGUUACCACGCCCAGCUAAUUUUUUAUUUUUUGUAGAGAUGUGAUCUCACGAUGAUGCCCAGGUUGGUCUCAAACUCUUUGGGCUCAAGCAAUCCUCCUGCCUCAGCCUCUCAAAGCCCUGUGAUUACAGGUGUGAGCCACUGCACCUGGCCAAGAUUACUUCCUUUAUUGGGUAGUUACCUAAAUAAUAACACAUAUGGCAAGCAAAUCUAAAAGAACAGAGGAGUAAGAAGGGCAUAAGGUAAAAAUCAAAAGCAAGAUGACCAGCUAGUCCUGGUUUACCUGUGACUAUCCCAGUUUUAAUAGUGGAAGUCCCACAUCCCAGUAACCCUUCAGUCACAAGCAAACCCAAACAGCCCUUCAUUUCCCAAUCCCUCUCUCUCCCCAGAUCAUCACUAUUAAGUUUCCAUACUCUUCCAGAAAUUUCCAUUGCAUAUGGAAGGAUGUGUAUUAUGCACAUAUGCUUACAUAUUUAAAUAAAUUCCUUUUAAUGGCUUAGAGGACAAGAAAUGUCUUUCGAGGCUAAUCUGGUUCUAACAAAGUUUAAAAACAAAAUUUAAAUAUGCAUAGUAAGGAAUUCAAACAUGGAAGAAUAUAAAACGAAACAAAACAUUUAUAAACCUUCGUUUAUAAAACAAAACAGGUUUUGUUUUGUUUUAUAAAGGCACACCAGCAUUUUGCCAGUUUUUGCCAAAUUGCUCUCCUGUGGCAUACUCUUUUACUUUUCUAUCAAUAAUGUAUGUAAAUACUGGUUUCCCCAGUCUCAGCAGUAGUAGGCAUAUUGAUAUUUUAGUAUUUGCUGGUCUGAGGUGAAAGGGCACAGCACCUCACUGUUUUGAUUUGCCUUUCAAGCGUGUAGCAGCUGCUGGACAUCCUUCACGUUCAUACUUCUUUUCCGGUGAAGGACCUUUACAUACUCUUUUGUAAAUGGUUUAAAAGUUACUUUAUACUAACUUUUUUGUAAAUCAAGGAAAUUCAUCUGUCAUAAGCAUUGCAAUUCUUUUUCCCAGUCGACUUUUCCUGAGAAAGUUUUAUAAACACUUCAAAUAAUAUGAUAUAGGAAGUAAUUCCUCCUUGCCUGGAAGUGGGGCUGAGACUGGAGUGCUAGGGCUUGUGUGGAACCAAGGCCAGUGACAAAGCAGACACUGUUGCUUCUAUGUGGCUGUAUUAAAAUGCACCCGCCCCUCCGCACCACCCCACAGAGCAGGAUUUCAACACAGCCCUGUCGACUUGAAAGCCCAAGCUCCUAACCCUGACUUUGUUUCACUCUGCUGGGGUAAAACCUGCUUACCGCAGAGGCUGGCAUUUGCUGAAAUGAGGUCGAGGAAGUGGGAAAGGUGGUUGGGAGUCCAAUCGAAGUCUCACCAAUGAUUGGAUAAACACAGCCAAGUGCUUCACCUCCCUGCACUGCACUCUCACAGCUGUAAAAUCACAGCUGGGUGAUCAGUGAUGACACCAGCCUGGAAGUGUGGGUAGAACCAUUAGAUGAGUCUGUGGGGAGGAAAGCACUUUGUAAACUAGUUAUGUUGUGCAUGUUGGAAGGAUGGGCUGAAUAACAAGAAACCCAGGUGUUCAGGGAUCAGAGUCUGGCUUCUUUCAUGAUAGCAAAAGCACCUCAGCUAACAGGUUAUAGGACUAACGCUAAACAAAUGUGUCAGUAGAAUGGCUGGAACUAGACCCAAACAUCUGCCUCCCUCCUUCAAAACAAAGCUGUGCGCCUCAGACCUGCAACUAUCAGCCUUGAUCCCCUCCUCAACCAAGACUUUGCUCUUCCCUAGGCCCCCAUUGCUGUGCGGCUGGGCAAAGUAGCCAUUGACCGAGGAAUAGAGGUGAGAGGGUUUUGGGUUGGGACUUGGGUCCACUAAAGUUGGUCAUGGCUGGCACGCAGUGCUUUCAGAGCUCAGACAGACAGCACAGCUGGAAAGAACUCAGGAAGUGGACUCUUCUAACAGACUUUGACUCUGACCUCGUGCUCUACCUCAGUUUACACAUCUGCAGAUUGGAAGUUUGGCCAGACGAUAUUAUUGUUUACAUUCUAUCCUCAUCUUUCUCUCUUGGAGAGAGGAUGAGAUUGAGGUUAAGAAGGGGUAAAUGAUUUGCCCAAGGUCUCAGAGAAAGUGAGUAGAAAGAACCCGGGUCUGUGUGGCUGCCAGUCCAUGCUGCAAGAUUUGUGCUGGCAGUAAUGUGGCCUCAGGGCAGGGCUUGGGGUGAUGCCUUGGGUGUAGCUAAUCCAUCUGUCUACCUCAACUCUCCCAUCUAGUCAAUCAUCACACACUGAAUCGAGACCAAAGCUGGGAAUUGGGUACAGAUGGAUGAGUUAAACAUGGUCACUGCCCCCAGGAGGGGGCAGAUACAGACACAAAUCAAGGAUAAUGGUACCACGCUGACACCCCAGAGAGGUUAGAGCUUUGCAGUCCAUUAUGAUAUCCAUGUGUGGCUUUUAAAUUAAAAGUAAAAUGUGGCCAGGCGUGGUGGCUCAUGCCUGUAGUCCCAGCACUUUGGGAGGCUGAGGCAGGUGGAUCACGAGGUCAGGAGAUCGAGACCAUCCUGGCUAACACAGUGAAACCCCGUCUCUACUAAAAAUACAAAAAAUUAGCCGGGCGUGAUGGCGGGCACCUGUAGUCCCAGCUACUCGGGAGGCUGAGGCAGGAGAAUCGCUUGAACCCAGGAGGCGGAGCUUGCAGUCAGCAGAGAUCGCGCCACUGCACUCCAGCCUGGGCGACAGAGCGAGACUCUGUCUCAAAAUAAAUGAAUGAAUAAAUAAAUAAAUAAAUAAAAUAAAAUGUUCAGUUUCUCCUUCACACUAAUCACAGUUCAAGUGCUUGACAUUCACGUGUGGCUAGUGGCUACCAUACUGGGCAGUGCUGGGUUAAAGAAUGUUUUCUACAGUUGGACUGUGGGAAGGAUAAGAAUUCCAGAGGAAAAGUAAAGUAUGGGCAAAGGCACAGAGGAGGAUAAGCAAGCAGCUCUUCCAAAUGAGAGCGAGGGAAGAAAACAGUGUGCAAGUUCGAGGCACUGGGCUGUCUGGGUUCAAAGACCUGCUCUUCCACAUACUGUUGUGAACUUUGACAAAUUAUUUCACCUUUCUAUGCCUCAGGUUUCUCAGCUGUAGAAUAGGGAUACUAACCCUUGCUGUGAAAAUUAAGUUCACACACAUGGUACUUCUUAGAAUGAGGCUUUUAAGUGCCAGUCAGUGGGCCCUAGAGGCUGGAGCAAUUGCCAGGGCCCAGGUCAUAAAGGUUCGGGAAUUAAUGGGUGACAGGAAGCGUGGUGAGGCAGCCAGAUGGGAAGGAGAACUCCUCUUCUCUGGCAAAAUGUCUCAGUCUGUCUCUUGUUUCUCCCAGCACUGUUUUGUCAUAGUUAUGAAUGGUGUUUCUUCUCUAGGAAGGAAAUGCCUUCUCAUAGCUAUCUCUGCCCAUAUAGAUGUCUGUAGGCAAUAGGGUGGGCUGGCUUCCAGUGUGGGUGAAGAUGGACAAGGUCAGACCAAUCCAGGGAGCACGCUGUCUUUCUUGCAGGUGGACAUUGUAUCCGGGAUGGCCAUUGAAGGGAUGUGCUAUGCCCAGGUAUGUAGCAACCAGCCUAUGCCUGCUUGUUAACAUAGGCUGGGCCAGGCUGGAGGGACUUUGUAUGGUACAUGACCAAUUUAGAAGGUUCCUCUCAACACAAACAGUCUGACCGCAUCCAUCAUCCCUCAUAAGUCACCUGGAGUGGCUUGAGGAGAGCCACAGUGCUUCUCUCUGGGACUUUUCCCUCAACCAUCUAAUGUACUGGGGUUCAUCCUGCCCACUUAAUGCCGAGAAUCACAGAACACAGGUCCUUAAGAGGAAGAACCACUUCUUUUGCCUCUGUAUCAGUUGCCACUAUAAAAGUCAGGGUGGAGUUGGGAGGUCAAGGGCUUGGUUGUAGCCUGCAGGCUGUGUUCAGUGUAGAGGCUGUACACUUGGGACUGACCUAUUAAAUCUCUUACUCACGGGUGAGUAAAAAACGCUAAUCUCCAGGUUAACAGAUAUCCAAAAUACUCCUAAGGGGUCCUGGGACUUGGAGAAACUAGUGUGAACCUGGAUUCAAAGCCAGAUUUCUUACUGCAAAGAAUUUUUUUUCUCUACUGAGCAGCCUCAUGUCAGACCACUGCAGACGGCAGUUGAGUUCUCACGAGGCAUGAAAGGCAGUUGAGUUCUCAGGAGGCAUGAAAGCAGUGUGCAAGUGGAGGCUAAUGCUGAUGGGGCACAGAAAAUACAAAGGCUGGCCUGUCUUCCCCAGGAGACAAAGCAGCCACGGAGGCUUAUACCUUUGCACGCCUCAAGACCAGAGUCCAGAGACAAUGGAAACACUUGGACCCUGGCUUUGUCAUGGGCUGGACAAGCUUAAGCAACUCUUUUUGGGCCUCUGGCACUGCUCCCCCAAAAUUAAUAUUUUGUACCUUUGUUGCAGAACAUUCCAACCCGGGACCGGCUAGAGGGCAUGGCAGCCUUCAGGGAGAAGCGGCCCCCCAAAUUUGUUGGCAAAUGACCCCCAUUUUAACCUUCAGCAUGGGAGAUGCAUGCCCUGAAGAGCAGGAUCCAGAAGGAAGAUUUGUGGCCGAAUUUACUUCAUCAUUUCACCUCUCCAGGCUUCCGUUUCUUCACAAGGAUGAUGAUGGAGAUAAAAUGACUGGCGUGAUGCCUGGAACCAAGGUGCUGAUCCUACCACCUACUGCUACCUUCCUUAGCUUCACCCUGGCUAGAAAUAAUCACGAGGGUUGGGUUUGCUUUGGAAAAUGCCGUCUCUCUACUUGAAUGAUAAAGAAUUAAAUUAGAUCUCUCU
rnacentral:sRNA from 1 species